rnacentral:rRNA from 1 species
AUUGAACGCUGGCGGCAGGCCUAACACAUGCAAGUCGAGCGGAUGAGAAGAGCUUGCUCUUCGAUUCAGCGGCGGACGGGUGAGUAAUGCCUAGGAAUCUGCCUGGUAGUGGGGGACAACGUUUCGAAAGGAACGCUAAUACCGCAUACGUCCUACGGGAGAAAGCAGGGGAACUUCGGGCCUGGCGCUAUCAGAUGAGCCUAGGUCGGAUUAGCUAGUUGGUGAGGUAAUGGCUCACCAAGGCGACGAUCCGUAACUGGUCUGAGAGGAUGAUCAGUCACACUGGAACUGAGACACGGUCCAGACUCCUACGGGAGGCAGCAGUGGGGAAUAUUGGACAAUGGGCGAAAGCCUGAUCCAGCCAUGCCGCGUGUGUGAAGAAGGUCUUCGGAUUGUAAAGCACUUUAAGUUAGGAGGAAGGGCAGUAAGUUAAUACCUUGCUGUUUUGACGUUACCGACAGAAUAAGCACCGGCUAACUCUGUGCCAGCCGCCGCGGUAACAC